AAGCGGAGGAAAAGAAACCAACAGGGAUUGCCCCAGUAACGGCGAGUGAAGCGGCAACAGCUCAAAUUUGAAAUCUGGUCCCCAGGGCCCGAGUUGUAAUUUGUAGAGGAUGCUUUUGGCGAGGCGCCUUCCGAGUUCCCUGGAACGGGACGCCACAGAGGGUGAGAGCCCCGUCUGGUCGGAUGCCAAGCCUAUGUAAAGCUCCUUCGACGAGUCGAGUAGUUUGGGAAUGCUGCUCAAAAUGGGAGGUAUAUGUCUUCUAAAGCUAAAUAUUGGCCAUAGACCGAUAGCGCACAAGUAGAGUGAUCGAAAGAUGAAAAGCACUUUGAAAAGAGGGUUAAAAAGUACGUGAAAUUGUUGAAAGGGAAGCGCCUAUGACCAGACUUGGGCCCGGUGAAUCAUCCAGCGUUCUCGCUGGUGCACUUUGCCGGGCACAGGCCAGCAUCAGUUUGGCGCGGGGGAUAAAGGUUUCGGGAACGUGGCUCCCUCGGGAGUGUUAUAGCCCGUUGCGUAAACCCUGCGCCAGACUGAUGUACGCGCUCCGCAAGGAUGCUGGCGUAAUGGUCAUCAGCGACCCGUCUUGA
rnacentral:rRNA from 1 species